rnacentral:rRNA from 1 species
UACGGAGGGUGCGAGCGUUGUUCGGAAUUAUUGGGCGUAAAGCGCGUGCAGGCGGCCUGUUAAGUCUGAUGUGAAAGCCCGGGGCUCAACCCCGGAAGUGCAUUGGAUACUGGCAGGCUUGAGUACGGGAGAGGGAAGUGGAAUUCCGAGUGUAGGGGUGAAAUCCGUAGAUAUUCGGAGGAACACCGGUGGCGAAGGCGGCUUCCUGGACCGAUACUGACGCUGAGACGCGAAAGCGUGGGGAGCAAACAGGAUUAGAUACCCUGGUAGUCCACGCCGUAAACGAUGGGUACUAGGUGUUGCGGGUAUUGACCCCUGCAGUGCCGAAGCUAACGCAUUAAGUACCCCGCCUGGGGAGUACGGCCGCAAGGCUAAA